AGUUUAUCUUGAAUCGUAUUGUAAUGGCUGUAGAUUUGGGAACAUGGCUGGACUGUACAUGUUGGCAGUGUACUGUAAUGUUUCCCCCUACUGUGAAUAAUGCCCUGUACCUGAUUCUGAUUUUUGUGUUAAAGUAUGCACUUGAAUAUGAUUUUGACAUGAUUUUGAAGGUCUGGUUUCGUGGCCUUGUGUUGAUUGGUUAA